rnacentral:rRNA from 1 species
AAGACCUUGCACUUUUGGAGCGGCCGAUGUCUGAUUAGCUAGUUGGUGGGGUAAUGGCCUACCAAAGCUUCGAUCAGUAGCUGGUCUGAGAGGACGGCCAGCCACACUGGGACUGAGACACGGCCCAGACUCCUACGGGAGGCAGCAGUGGGGAAUUUUGGACAAUGGGGGCAACCCUGAUCCAGCCAUGCCGCGUGAGUGAAGAAGGCCUUCGGGUUGUAAAGCUCUUUCAGCCGGGAAGAAAAGGUCACGACGAAUACUUGUAGCUCAUGACGGUACCGGAAGAAGAAGCACCGGCUAACUACGUGCCAGCAGCCGCGGUAAUACGUAGGGUGCGAGCGUUAAUCGGAAUUACUGGGCGUAAAGCGUGCGCAGGUGGUUUUGUAAGUCAGAUGUGAAAGCCCCGGGCUCAACCUGGGAAC